AAAGUACUCCCUCCGUCCCAAAAUUCUUGUCUUAGAUUUGUCUAGAUAUGGAUGUAUCAAGUCACAUUUUAGUAUUAGAUACAUCUGUACUAGACAAAUCUAAGACAAGAAAUUUGGGACAGAGGGAGUAGUUG
rfam:Triticum aestivum genome assembly, contig: Triticum_aestivum_CS42_TGACv1_scaffold_645199_T_1BL-0.041906_3DS-0.035582